UCUACACUUCGCAGGACCAGUACAAACAAACCUCUCUUACCCCUAAGGGCAGAGAUGACCCAACCCUUCCCCACCACGUCCUAAACUACUGUGUAUAACACACUGGAUGGCUGUACAGUUCGGCAUGGCCACCCUCAGAUUAACAUCCCUCAAUGCUAGGGGCCUAAAUCUUCCUGAAAAAAAGAUCACAGGUACUUGCAGAGAUCCUCCACUUAAAAGCUGACAUAGCUUUUAUACAGGCAACUCA